GCGUACGGGUGAGUAACACGUGGAUCAUCUACCUUUUCAGUGGGGAAUACCCCUGGGAAACCGGGGACAGGAGUACCGCAUAAGCUCGAGAGAGGAAAGCGUCUUUGUGAAAGCAAAGGCGCGCUGGAAGAGGAUGUCCGCGGUCGAUUAGUUAGUUGGCAGGGUAAAGGCCUACCAAGACUGUGAUCGAUAGCCGGCCUGAGAGGGCACACGGCCACACUGGCACUGAAACACGGGCCAGACUCCUACGGGAGGCAGCAGUGGGGAAUCUUGCACAAUGGGGGAAACCCUGAUGCAGCGACGCCGCGUGAGCUGAUGAAGCCCUUCGGGGUGUAAAGCUCUUUCGGCAGGGAAGAUUAUGACGGUACCUGCAGAAGCAGCUGCGGCUAAACUACGUGCCAGCAGCCGGGGUAAUACGUAGGCAGCAAGCGUUGUUCGGAGUUACUGGGUGUACAGGGUUCGAAGGCGGUGUGGCAAGUCCGGGAGUGAAAUCUCUGGG
rnacentral:rRNA from 1 species